rfam:Oryza sativa Japonica Group DNA, chromosome 12, cultivar: Nipponbare, complete sequence.
AUUUACCACUCCCUCCGUCCAAUGUUUAACUUUUGUCUUAUUUAAAUUUUUUUUAUUAUUAGAUGAUAAAACAUGAAUAAUAUUUUACAUGUGACUAAUUUAUUUUAAUUUUUUCAUAAACUUUUCAAAGACGGACGAUCAAAAGUUCGACACGGAUUGUCAUGGUUGCACUUAUU